UCUCUUCUGCAGCCACAGUACUUGCAGAGCCACAGAAAAUUUGUUCUAGGUGGUACAGCAACAAAAGAGCGGAGCGUCCAACAGCUCGAACCCUGAGGUUAAAGGAGAAUGUCGUAAGAGACCAGAGCAAGAAGAUGAUGAAGGCUGGAAGCUGACUUAGCAAAGCUGGCGACAGGCAAAGCCACGAAGCAAUUCAAUUGAUACAGUGAGCACCCAAAAGGCCCAGAAAAUGAUACUAAGCCCAUGGUGCAAUCAGACUACACUACUGCAGAUUCAUCCGACAUCAUGCUAUAAAAACCUCAGAGUUCACAGAGCUUAAUCUUUUCUUAUACACAUGAAAAAAAUUAAAAGAAAGCGGAGAUCAACAGACU